rnacentral:rRNA from 1 species
ACUCCUGCGGGAGGCAGCAGUGGGGAAUUUUGGACAAUGGGCGAAAGCCUGAUCCAGCCAUGCCGCGUGCAGGAUGAAGGCCUUCGGGUUGUAAACUGCUUUUGUACGGAACGAAACGGCCUUUUCUAAUAAAGAGGGCUAAUGACGGUACCGUAAGAAUAAGCACCGGCUAACUACGUGCCAGCAGCCGCGGUAAUACGUAGGGUGCAAGCGUUAAUCGGAAUUACUGGGCGUAAAGCGUGCGCAGGCGGUUAUGUAAGACAGUUGUGAAAUCCCCGGGCUCAACCUGGGAACUUCAUCUGUGACUGCAUAGCUAGAGUACGGUAGAGGGGGAUGGAAUUCCGCGUGUAGCAGUGAAAUGCGUAGAUAUGCGGAGGAACACCGAUGGCGAAGGCAAUCCCCUGGACCUGUACUGACGCUCAUGCACGAAAGCGUGGGGAGCAAACAGGAUUAGAAACCCCGGUAGUCCCAUGA